UACAGAGGGUGCGAGCGUUAAUCGGAAUUACUGGGCGUAAAGCGCACGUAGGUGGCGACGUAAGUCAGGGGUGAAAUCCUGGAGCUCAACUCCAGAACUGCCUUUGAUACUGAGAAGCUUGAGUCCGGGAGAGGUGAGUGGAACUGCGAGUGUAGAGGUGAAAUUCGUAGAUAUUCGCAAGAACACCAGUGGCGAAGGCGGCUCACUGGCCCGGUACUGACGCUGAGGUGCGAAAGCGUGGGGAGCAAACAGG
rnacentral:rRNA from 1 species